AUAUCCGAAAUUUUUUCAAAACAUAAAACAAAAUUCAAACCGUUUUCAAAAUAGAUAAUAUAAAAACUCUUUCUUAAUUCAUCUCUCUCACGUUCGGUUCUCCCUUAAUUCCCUUCCCUUUUCUCCAUUUUUCUACUAUUUUUCUUUUUUUCUCUUUUCCUCCUUUAUUGUCCUUUCUAACAAACCGCUGCCGCUGCCUCCACACACUUUCCGGCGUCUUACCUCCGAUGAGGCCAGCUUCCUUCCCAUCAUUCGAAAUUUAAAUCCUCAAAUAUAUCUAUCCAAUCCAUUGCUCCCCAUUUCUUCGGCGGUUCUCUCUCACUCUCGGUCUCUUUUCGAAGUUUUCCUGUCAUUCUUUUUUAGCUUUGGGUAUCCACAGGCCAAAAAAACACAUGCUAUUGUAGGAAGAGAGUUUUCGUGAGAGAGAAACCCUAUGUUUUCUCUGGCGUUUCUGGUUUUUGUGAUUUUUGAAAUUCGCUGCUUCAACGGAGACUCAUUUCAGGUGCAAAAAUCAUGAAGCUUCCAAUUAUUUAUGGGAAUUGUAUUAUGGGGGAUGGGCAGCACCUAAUAUAUACUUCUUGGGGUAUGCUGUGGUUGUGAAGGUUGGCAAUAUCCGCAUCGGUGGACUUUCCGGAAUUUACAAUGCGCGUAAUUAUUGUUUAGGUUCGGGUGGAGAGUCGAAGCUUUGAAACUGAAAUGAAUUAGCGUUUCCUUGAGCAGGACACCAUGAAAGGCCACCUUAUAAUGACAAUACUAUCAGGUCUGUGUAUCAUGUCCAGGAAUACGAUGUUCACAAGCUUAUGCACCUAGAGGAACUGAUGGAUAUUUUCCUUUCACACGAUUGGCCGCUCAGCAUCACUGAUUAUGGGAACUGGCUACAACUUGUUCGCUACAAAAAACA